rnacentral:rRNA from 1 species
UACGGGAGGCAGCAGUGGGGAAUAUUGCACAAUGGAGGGAACUCUGAUGCAGCGACGCCGCGUGAGUGAAGAAGUAUCUCGGUAUGUAAAGCUCUAUCAGCAGGGAAGAUAAUGACAGUACCUGACCAAGAAGCCCCGGCUAACUACGUGCCAGCAGCCGCGGUAAU